GUCCUUUAGAUAUUAAUUUAAGGUCUAACCUGCCCACUGAAUUAUUUUUAAAUGGCCGCAGUAAUUUGACUGUGCAAAGGUAGCAUAAUCAUUAGUUUUUUAAUUAAAAGCUUGUAUGAAAGGUUGGACGAAGUAAAAUCUGUCUCUAAUUAAAUUAAUUUAGAAUUUAACUUUUAAGUUAAAAGGCUUAAAUUUAAAUAAAAGACGAGAAGACCCUAUAGAUCUUUAUAGUUAAAUUAUUAGAUUUAAUUAUGAAUUUUUAAAAUUUUAUUAAUAGAACUAUUUUAUUGGGGUAAUAUAAAGAUUAAAAUAAUUCUUUUUUUUUAUAUACAUUAAUUUAUGAUUUUUAUGAUCCAAUUUUAUUGAUUAAAAGAUUAAGUUACCUUAGGGAUAACAGCGUAAUUUUUUUAGAGAGUUCUUAUCGAUAAAAAAGUUUGCGACCUCGAUGUUGGAUUAAAGAUUAUUUUAGGUGUAGAAGCUUGAAAAUUUUGGUCUGUUCGACCAUUAAAUCUUUACAUGAUCUGAGUUCAGACCGGUGUAAGCCAGGUCGGUUUCUAUCUUUAUUAAAUAAAAAUAUUUUAGUACGAAAGGACCAAUUAUUUAAUAUAUUAAUAUUUAUAAAUUUUGAUUAUUAUUA
rnacentral:rRNA from 1 species